rnacentral:misc_RNA from 1 species
GAUGAAGAACGUAGCGAAAUGCGAUACUUGGUGUGAAUUGCAGAAUCCCGUGAACCAUCGAGUCUUUGAACGCAAGUUGCGCCUCAAGCCAUUAGGUUGAGGGCACGUCUGCCUGGGCGUCACAUAUCGUUGCCUGAUGCCAGUUUCCUCGUGAUGGGUGACUGUGCAGGGCGAAUGAUGGCUUCCCGUGAGCAUUGUUGCCUCAUGGUUGGUUGAAAAUUGAGUCCUUGGUAGGGAGCGCCGUGAUAGAUGGUGGUUGAGUGACGAACGAGACCCAAUCAUGUGAGACCCCUACCGAAUUUGGCCUUCAUGACCCACAUGCGUCUUUGGAACGCUCAUGACGAGACCUCAGGUCAGGCGGGGCUACCCGCUGAACUUAAGCAUAUCAAUAAGCGGAGGA